rnacentral:sRNA from 1 species
UUGCCAGGUGUCUCACUUUCAACUGUGAUCUCCUGAAGGCUGAUGUACGGGGACCCUCUAUGCACCGAACCCAAUACGUUCAUUCCCCGUAUGAUCGUCCUGGUUGGAACCCUCGGUUCUGCAUCAUCUCGG